UACGUAGGGUGCGAGCGUUAAUCGGAAUUACUGGGCGUAAAGCGUGCGCAGGCGGUUUUGUAAGCCAGAUGUGAAAUCCCCGGGCUCAACCUGGGAAUUGCAUUUGAGACUGCAUAGCUAGGGUGCGGAAGAGGGAAGCGGAAUUUCCGGUGUAGCGGUGAAAUGCGUAGAUAUCGGAAGGAACAUCAGUGGCGAAAGCGGCUUCCUGGUCCAGCACCGACGUUCAGGCACGAAAGCGUGGGGAGCAAACAGG
rnacentral:rRNA from 1 species